UGAAGAUGAUCUGUCCUGUUAGGUCCUGUU
rnacentral:piRNA from 1 species